CAUCCUUUUUGAGGCUUAAUAAUUCCUGUGCUUUUUGUCAAAAAUUUCUGAAAUUUUGCAGGGAGGUUUGUUUAUUAGGGAGAUUGACGCUAUUAAAUUUUGGUGAUUAAAGGUCAAAGGGGUGGGAAGAUAAAGGGAAUAGUGAUAACCAAAUUUUUUCUUCCCAGAACCUUGGAACUUUUAGCUUGAUAUUGGAACUUGAAUAUACAAAUAAUAAUAAUAAUAAUAAUUUUAUUUAGCCUCUUCAUUACUUAACUAUUCUUUAUAUGUUUAUCAUGUAUUAUACAGUACUUGUAUCUUUGCUAUGCAUCAAUUACUUUGCUGUACUCUUCACAUAAUUUGAUUUUUUAAUAUGAAUUCAUUAUUUUAUGACUAUAUCACAACUAUUUAUAAUUAAUCAUUACUAAUUAAUAAAGAUAUUUUAUUUCAUACUUUUGCUUUUCAUUCAUCUCUACCAUACAAUAAUAAAACUAAUGUCAUUAUUUGCAUAUAUGCUGGCAUAUUAUUAUAAAUUUAAUAAGACUUACUUUGAAAUUAGUUUAUUUAAAACUUUUUAUCUGAUUGAUAUAUAUUUAUCAGCAUUCAAAGUUUGUAGGAACAAUUUUUCUAUUUAGAUUUAUAUUAUCAUCAUAAAUUUAGUAAAUAAUUCUUAAUCUCUAAACAAAGUCUAUGAGAUGAUUAUUGUUACAUCAUGCUACAGUGUAGUAACAUUGUUUAAGCUUUGUCUUGCUUCUCCAUAAUACCUUAGCCACUUGCCUACACUAUGCAUGUGUGACUGUUUAUUUCAAGAUAUGUAGAGCUUUUUAAAAAUGUGUAGGUCUUAUUGACACUUUAUUAUGGAUAUUCCAUGAACAAAUACUGGUAUAUCAUCAAAAGCUUAAUUUAAGCAAAAUCCAGUCAUCAACACAUUCCAUUUUGUUAAAAGCUUGGCUCACUGUUGAAGCUACAUCUCUAAAGACAGCUCAGUAUUCCUAAUGAACCUAGAGAUAUGAAGCAUUAAUACAGCAGGCAAUACAAAAUACGAAAAUACUGCUGCAGCAGAUGAUCAAGUUUCAAUUGAGAAACUUGAGAAGAGGAUCUUCAAAUUGUCCAUCCUCCAAGAACUGAAAAAUGUAACAAUGUAACUUCCUACAAGUAUUUCCAACUAACUUCUGUCAAAUAUAACACCAAUUUGCCUGAAGUACUGCAAAAAAAAAACAUCAAAAACUCUUGUACAGUAACAAAUAUCCUGAAUAUGAAGUCUACAAAAAUACAAAGUCUCCUAGAACAAUGUUUCCAAUUAUGUAGUAGAGGCCUAUGUUUCUGUUUACAGGUUAAAAAUUAAAAAAACAAAAACAAAUGGAAUAAUCUAAAAAAAAUUCAAAAUACUUAAUUUAAAAAACAAAACACUAUGCAUAGACUAUAUUACAUUUAAAUACAAUUACUGGGAAUCAGGACUGUUUCAAAAAUUGAAGC